AAUCAAUGUUAUUCUUUUUUAUUUUUAACUUGGUAAUUACUGGUAUUUAUGGGCUAACUGAAUGUAUGAAUCUUCCAGCCUUUUUGUAUUUUGGAUAGUUCACUAUGAGGGACAAAUCAUCUUGAUAAAGGAUGAAGUUCUUUGCUUUUCUGUAACUCUCAUUUCCUCUUUUUCAUAACAUUAUUGAAAAUAUCAUAUUUUCUGCAUUUUCUAACUCUGAAUCAGUAUUAGGCUGGUGGGCUAGCUCCUUGCCCAUUCUUUCAACAUAUUAUUACUACUACUAUUGCCACUACUUCAAUUAUUUGCUAUUAGUGGCCUUUUUUCUAUCUUCUCUCUCCAUUUCUUCCCAGUACAUCAAAUGCUGUUCUGAGGUCAGUGCAUCUAUGUACAUUGGAAGAGCAUUAAUAUCUAUAGGGCAGCCCAGGUUCUGGGAACCUGGCCACAUCAUCUUACGUAUACUGUAUCUAUUCAUCCUCAGAAUAGACCUCCUUAGCAGCUAUUAUUACUCCAUAUGACAAUGGGGAAACUGAGCCUGGGAGCUUGAGGAACUUGUCAGAAGACACACAGCUAGGAAGUGGCAGAGAGCAAGUGUCUGACUCCAAAGUCCACGCUCUUUCUACUUUUCAUAAUGGUUGCAUCCCAGCUCUAAAAUUUGUUUAUUUCUUCUUUCACAUACUCCGUCUUUUCAGAAAGGAUUUGAUAGAGAUGACACAUUUGUUAUUGUUCCUAAGCUCUGGCUUCUGCCUCCAUACUGCUUAAGCCCAGGAGAUUGAGGAGGAUGGCGUGGGCUGGAGGUGGACUGUGCGAGAAAGCUCUUCCUGUCACCAGAACCCUUGCUUGUCACCAAGUGGCCCACUUGCAACAGACUCCAGGAUGUCCCAGCCAGGGGAGUGUUGGAGUUGUUUGUGAUCGGGUGAUCCCAGGCUUAGCUUGUCUAACAACGGUUAGAAGUACUUCUUUAUAGCUGGGAAUGAGACAACCAGGUGAAAUGUGGACCCUGGAGAAACUCCAACCAGCCUGCCCACUGAAGUGGACCCUCAGGUAGUUGGUACCCUUUGCAGCGGGGAGAAGCUUGGCCCCUCCUCUUCCUGUGUGGAAGCUGGGAUUCAAAUGGCAGGAGGUAAGUGCUCUAACAGGGGACUCUGGCCUUGCAGAGGAUCCCUGUUUCCCCUUUUUUCUCCCUCUUUCACCCAAUAAAACCAUGCUUUACCCACCCUUUAAACCAUUUGCAAGCCUAAAUUUUUGUGGCUGUGGGACAGACAGGAACUCUGUCUUUAGCUGAACUAAGGAAAAGUCCUGCAACAGCAUGAUGCUGGUGUGUCCAGAAUUGGUUCCUGCCGGUGGGAUCGUGGUCUCACUGACUUCAAGAACGAAGCCGCAGACCUUGGCGGAAAGUUCCCCAAAUCCCCACACAACCCAAGAAGUCCAGCUGGCCUCACCUCUCACUGACAUCUUCUCGGGAGCCCUCAAGAAGCUUUCAUGGUGGAAGGCAAAGGGGAAGCCAGCACGUCUUCCACGGCCAGAGCCGGAGCAAGAGAGAGACAGAGGAGAUGCCCCACACUAUUUAAAUGAACAGAUCUCAUGAGAACUCACUCACUAUCACAAGAACAUCAGCAAGGGGGAAAUCUGCCCCAUGAGCCAAUCACCUCCCACCAGGCCCCACUUCCAAUAUUGAAGAUUACAAUUCAACAUGUGAUUUGGGCAGGGACACACAUCCAAGCCAUAUCAAUAACUCAACUAAUCCAAACUGGAGGGGCAAACAAGCAGCUGGGGCCCUACACUGAUCCUCAGUUGCCCAACUUCUUUGGGCUUUGAUAAAAACAGAUGCAUUUCUGACAUCAUAUUUUUUUUUAAUUAAGAUUUUCUAGAGAGACAGGGUCUCAUGAUAUUGUUUAGGCUGGUCUCUAGCUCCUGGCCUCAAGCAAUUCUUCCACGUUGGCCUCCCAAAGUGCUGGGAUUACAAACGUGAGCCACUGUGCCUGGCCUGUCAUCAUAAUUUAAAUGGAGAAAACAUUAUUUUAAAUCACUUGGUCCUGAAAAAUCUUAAUGGUUUGGUUGAUUAUAUACAAAUAUAUGCUUGUGCAUUCUUUGUGCUAUUUCUAGUAGUUUUGCUUACAGGUUUAUUUCAUACAGCUGUUAGUGUCAUUUUUCCAGUACUAAAAAAUAUCCUAACAGCAGUAAUACACCACACAAUUAAAAUGACCACACACACACACACACAGACACGCACAGGCACAUAUCUCUCUAUUGUUAAUGGUCUAGUAGUCAGAUUCAAAAUGGAGAAAUUUGUUGUAAAGAUAUUAACACACAAUGGUCUUUAUAGAUCAUUGCUUCCAAAGAUGCACUAAAAGUUGAAAUUGUGUUCAUUUUCUGGGAAAAUUAAUAUGUAACAUUCUGAAAGUCUGCAUCUUUCAUUGGUCCUUCUAAUAGGCUCACGGUUUCAUUUCCUUUGUUUUGCUCAAGUCAGUAAUGCAAAUGUUAAGCUCCCUCUAUUAGUGCCCCUUAAAAGUAAGUUGAUACUUUGGAGCUCUUAAGUGGACCUAAAUGGUUUUUCAGGCAUUAUCAUUUCUGUUUUCCACUAGCCAGGGAGACCCUAAGGGUGGGGAGACAUGGCUUCUUUGUAACCCUCACAAUGCCCGUACAGUCCAUUAUGGGCUUAGUAGGAUUUUUUGUUAUUAACUUGGGAAUGCCGUAGUUGUCUGUAGAAGUGAACAGGAAAUAAACAUUGUCUACAUGUGGAAAUGAUGCAAAUUUUAAACUCUUAUAGUACACUUUUCAAGCCAAUUUUAAGUUGAGACUCAGAGUGUAGAAAAGUAAGCCUUCUAUAAUGUAUCUCUGAGCAGGGCCAUUUUACUUAAAAUUAGUGAAGUUGUCUCCUUGACCUGUUGAAGACUCAAUGAAAAUAAAUUAGAGCUGAGCUUUAAACCAUUCAUUCCUUCCCACUUCCCAUGUUUCUAAUUGUUUUGGGUCCUGAUUUAGAGAAAGCCAAUAAAAUAUUAUGGCUUUCUAAGCUAUCAAUUAAUGGACAAUUUAGAAAAUGCUUAUGGGUUGUCUUCCAUCUCCAAACUUGGUGGAGCAAAUUGAAAUGGAUGACUCAUGUCUAGGGGAUCAAGCAUGUUAAAUCAAUGAACAUGUUUGCUUGAAUCUCAUCUCCUAAUGAGCUGAAACAGAUAGAACAUUUCUCAUGCAUCCAGAUGGAAUUAUUUUGGAAAGUAAACUAAUGCACAUGCCCACACAAAAUUCCUCUGCUAUCUCUAGCCAGAUUCUGUUAGCUGUUCACCAAGAUGAUUUACCAACAAUAUGAGGUUGGGCUGCUUCUUUAUAUUAUUGGCUCCACAGGAAUUCUUCCAGAAGACAAUAUUUUUUCUAUUUUGUUUUGUUCAAUUUAAUAAUAUCAUGUACAAUAUUUUCUAGAUGCUGUGAGUUUGUAUGUGUAUCUUGAAUGUGGGGGAGGUUUAGGUUUUAUGACAGUAAGUGGAAUUCACUUAUUAAGGUUAUUUGACUUAGAAUUGAUUAUUUAUGCCAAUACUUGCUAAUAUUUAAAAUUAUUUCACUGUUCAUUGCCCUUACUAUGUAAAACUCUCUUGAAAGUCACUAAGAAAAAACAUAAACAACUCAAAAUAAAAAAGUAAAUUGGAAUAACUUUUGGAGGUCAGUUUUCCAAUGUGUAUCAAAAGCCCUAAAAAAUAUACUUCCCGUG
rnacentral:lncRNA from 1 species